rnacentral:snRNA from 1 species
AUCGCUUCUCGGCCUUUUGGCUAAGAUCGAGUGUAGUAUCUGUUCUUAUCAGUUUAAUAUCUGAUACGUCUUCUAUCCGAGGACAAUAUAUUAAAUGGAUUUCUUUUGGGGGGGGGGACGGGUGGGAAGCAAUACAACUAAAAUAUGUGCUCAGUCUUCCUUUGUAGUACACAGAGAGAAGUAUUGCAAAA